ensembl:lncRNA
CCGUCUUGUUUCUGGAGAGAGUCAGUCUGCUCUUUUUCCUUCAAAGCACCCUUUCUCCUUGAGCGCUUUUGUGCUUUUUCCUUUGAUCUUCCUUUUUUUGCUCUAAGUAUCUUUCAUAUUCGCCACUGCAAGUCGUAGAAAGAUUCACAUUUUCUUUAAAUCCCUAUGUUGUGUGCUGGUGCUUGAGGAAACAAACAGAAGGCAGGGAGGGAGACAAAGUCCUCCGGAGGCCCUGCAGCACCUUCCCGUGUCCCAGGCUCUCUGGGUGUGAUGCCCGCUGACUCUAGGCUCAGUGUGGCUGACUUUCUCAAGCUAGGCCGCUGAGCCGUGGGGCUAUUUGUGUUUUUUCAACACAAACUAAAUCACACUGCCUGAAACAACCUCUUACUCUGAAAGCAAGUGACAUGAAAAUAGAACUGCUGAGAAGACAUUUCCUCCUGCUGCAAUUUCGCCAAACAGCUGAGGCGAACUCGGUAAGCACACUGCACAGUGCUCGCUGAUACCUGUGAGGAGCCUGCUGCCGAGCUUAGGAAGAGCCUGUGCCCACAGGAAGCACCGGAGACGCUGGGCUCCCGCUCUGCAGGGGCUGAGGGGUCACUGGAUCGCGCAGCACGGAGGCUGCCCGCGGCUGAAGGGUCCCGCACGGGGGCGCCCAGGCAGGCUCAGCAGCGGAGGCCAGGCCUUCCCUUUGCACCGCGGCCCGAAGGGACAGGGCGGGGCGGCACCGUGCUGGGUGCGCUCAGCGUGGAGAAGAUGAACCCUGCGGCGCCCCCAGUUCCUCGUCUGCGCCCGCACGCGGGGAACAGAUCUGCCCCAAGGCCUCGGGCCGCGGUGUGCAGCACGCCCUCCCCGCCCGAUGGAGGAGGAGGAAAGAGACUUGAGAAGCUUCCACCAGGGCUGGCGUUUACACUGGGGUGAGAACCGAAAGGGGGCUGCCGUGCUGUGGAUCUGUGCAGGAGCCCAGCAAGGCUAAACACUGCUUUUCUACCAAAAGGACUGGACUGAAACAAGGAACAUUUCAAAGUGAAAGUCUUUUUUGAUAAAUGCUCACAUUUCUUAGAUCUGCCAACUGCGAGGGCCGCAGGAAGUACAAGGAAGCAGCUGUGUGCCGGCGCUUGCGAACAAACUCCUUCCUGCAGCCAGGGUAGUGUGUGCCCGGGUGAUGGUCUCUGCAGGGCAGUCCCUCUGUGUGACGGUCUCGGGAGGCAGGGAGGUGACAAAGGCGGUGGGCGACAGGAACCUCAGGGCGCGCCUUCGGAAGGAGGCUGCGGCUCAAGGCUGUUGGUCAGGUGGGAGAAGCCAGGAAAAGGCCCAAGUCCGUGGUUCAUGGGUUCAUGGGUUCAUGUUAUCAAAUUGAGGCUAAACCGGACUUCCCCGACGCUGCUGUACGCAAGCCGUGUCUGGAGUUCCAGGACGCGCACUUUUCACAUGUUGGUAAAUGGAAAUUGAUUUCAUCAAAACGGCUUAACUGAGCCUCCCCUGCCACGUUCAGAAAGCGUGCAGGGAGUUUGAAUAAAAACUGAGAAACCGGAAGGGCCAUGGCUGAGAGGCGAGGGGAUUCAUGUUUCACACUGUAGCGGGAAUCCGUGAGAGCCGAGGACCGCAACCCCCAGAUAGCCAGGAAGCCCAAAACGGAGGCUGCUGAGUCACAACCCUCCAGGGGUCUUACAGCAAACCUGCCAAGUCUCCCCGGCUGCCCGGGAGCUCUGAGAGCAUGACUGCAGGCCAUGGGCUCCUGCAGGGGCCCCACAUGGGCGCUAGGUGAGCACUGCACAGGCUGGACCUUAAAAGAGUAGUCGACUCCUCUAGGGUAGAGGUUGUAUUGCCUACACAGUGGCCCAAGCUCCCUUCUAAGCCCCUCAAAAACCCCUAGCUAAAGAACCCUUGUGGCUACCCUACUCUGCACCCCCAGUAAAGCUAGCCAGGAGCUUUAGUUUCUUCCCUUUAUAUCUUUUAAGUAAAUUUGUACCCUUACCCCUUCUGUCUGCACUUCCAUUUUUCGUCACCGUUGGACACAAUCCCUGCGUUCUGCAUACCUCAUAGUAGAGGAGAACUGUAACAAAUGCUUUGGUACAAAGUCGGUCUCUUCCCUGCAGUUACCUCUAAGGAAGGAGAAAAAAAUUCCCAGGCCAUUUCAGCAGGUAAAAUGCAUCUUCUGAGGAAUGUCACACCGUGCCGAGGGGCUGUCCCCGGGAACCAGCCAGGGCUCUGAGAAGUCCGGGAGACCCAGCCUCCUGCUCCUCUUCCCCCGGCCCAGCAGUGACGAGUCCUCCCCAGAGCACCGGUCAUCUGCUCCGUCCUCUCGGGUGGCCGGCAGGAGACCCUGGGUGGCGGCCGCUUUCUGCCCUGGAAAUCUGUAUCUAACAAACCCAGGAUGAACGUCUCCGAGACUCAAGCGCAGCCUGGACUGUGUGGUGGGGAGAGACGCUCGUGCAAGGCGAGCAGCAGGAGGUCUCCAGGCUUCUCUAAAUCUCGCGAGGAAACAGCCCAUCUGCCUGAGGCCCGUGGCGCGCUCUGCUGUGUCGUGGGGGGGGGCAUGAAACGGGGUGCACGCAGCACUGGCCUCGGGCUCUAGAGCUGUCUUCACUUUGAAUGGCCCCGUGGGCUUUAAAUUUAUAAAACACGAUAAACUCUCGAGAGGGGAAAUUUCACAUAAAACCUAGACUUUUCAUAUUACAAACUAUAUGCCCCAUUCUAUUCUUACUUUUUAUGCAGUCACUAAUGAUAUACCAGUAUUUUGAAAUUUUAGCUGGAAUAUAGCUCUCUGCUUCAAAAUGAAACAAACCUGGAACCAGAAUUUAAGCUGAUGAAAGUAAUGGUCCAUCAGCUGGAAGCACUGGAAUCUGCCUGUAGUCCGGUUUGUCGGGAGGCUGAGACAGGAGCAGCCCUUGAGCCUUAGGAGUUCAAGGCCAGCCUGGGCAACAUGGAAUUGGGGGAGGGUUGUCAAUCAGCCCAGGGCUUUUUGCUCAGUUCGGAUGGAAAUCGUGAAUUGAGAAAAGUAGCUUGGCUAGCAGCCCUGAUGUCACCAGAUGACACCAGGUAGUGCUAAGUGACAACAGUGGAUAAUAGUUGGCAACUGUAUUUCAUGAGAUUUUUUUCAAGUUUUUUUUUUCCCCCCCUAUGCCUAAUAAUGCUACCUCCGUUCAGGUACAUGUCUUUUGAUGUACCUGUGCUCUCCUAGAAUAUGCUCAUCUUUAGAGCUGGAGUACAAUGAAAGCACAAUAUUCUCCCAGCUGGAAGUAAAGAGUUCUCACUGCUCCAUAUCCUUGCCAACACUUGAAAUUGUCAGUCUUUAACUCUGGCGAUUCAGGAGGGUAGUAUCUUAUUGUGAGCUGAAUCUGGAUUUACAUGCUUAAGAUGCCAUUUGGGUACCUUUUGCAAAUCAAGAGUUCAGGUUCUAGACUCACUUUUUAUUAGAUUUUCAGUCUCUUACUGAUCUAUAGGACUACUUUACAUAUUUUGGAUGAGACUCUUGUGCCAGUUAUGUGUGUUAUAUAUAUCUACUCUGACUGGCCUCUUCACUUUAAUGGUUUCUUUUGAUAAAUUGAACUAAUUUAAAUUAAGAAUUUAUUAGUAUCUUCCUUUGUAGUUGCUGCUUUUUGCCAUCUGCUUAAAUCUUUCCCUACUCAAGGUCAUAAAUAUCACUUAUAAAAGUAUUUAACAUUCCUAUUUAAAGCUACAUUCUUAAAUUGUUUUUGUGGCUAGUAUAAGGUAUGCUUCAAUGUAUCGAAAUAUGACACAAUCCUAUUAAUAUUUACUUAAAAGCACUGAAAAUGUCUUCAAAUAAAAAAUUGCCAAUUUAAAAUUUCUUUCACAUGGCUACCACAAUGACCUAGUGCCAUUUACUUUUAAAUGUUGUUUGCUCCUUUUUCUGUGCUGGGCGUUGAAUCCAGGGCUUUCAUACUGAGCUACACCUCCAGUCCUUAUUAUUAUUAUUUUUUUUUACUUUGAGACAGAUCUGAAGUCAUUAAUUUUCCCAGGCUAGGCUUGAACUUGCAGUCCUUUGGGAAGGUGAGGUGUAAGAGUGCUGAGAUUCCAGGGUUGUGCCACCGUGCCUGGCUCUACCCGUAUACUUAACAUUACGUUCUUUGCCAGAGAGCACACGCCCACACAGGAGGCUCCAGACUGGGACUCUGAUCUUUUCCACUGGUCUGUCUGCUGUUCCGGGCUCAGUAGUACUGCCUUAAUUCCGUCACUUUAGGGUGAGCCUCUAUAUUCAAAGUAUAGCUUCUCUUAUUAUUUUGUUCUUUAACAACGUCUUGG